AUUGAACGCUGGCGGCAGGCCUAACACAUGCAAGUCGAGCGGUAGCACAGGAGAGCUUGCUCUCUGGGUGACGAGCGGCGGACGGGUGAGUAAUGUCUGGGAAACUGCCUGAUGGAGGGGGAUAACUACUGGAAACGGUAGCUAAUACCGCAUAACGUCGCAAGACCAAAGAGGGGGACCUUCGGGCCUCUUGCCAUCAGAUGUGCCCAGAUGGGAUUAGCUAGUAGGUGGGGUAACGGCUCACCUAUGCGACGAUCCCGAGCUGGUCGGAGAGCAUACGCAGACACGCUGGAACUGAGACACGGUCCGGACUCCUACGGGAGGCAGCAGUGGGGAAUCUUGCACAAUGGACGCAAGCCUGAUGCCGCAAUGCCGCGUGUAUGAAGAAGUCCUUCGGGUUGUAAAGUACUUUCCGCGGGGAGGAAGGUGCUGAGGUUAAUAACCUCAGCAAUUGACGUUACCCGCAGAAGAAGCACCGGCUAACUCCGUGCCAGCAGCCGCCGUAA
rnacentral:rRNA from 1 species